ACGAACGCUGGCGGCGUGCUUAACACAUGCACGUCGAACGGAAAGGCCCUGCUUUUGUGGGGUGCUCGAGUGGCGAACGGGUGAGUAACACGUGAGUAACCUGCCCUUGACUUUGGGAUAACUUCAGGAAACUGGGGCUAAUACCGGAUAGGAGCUCCUGCUGCAUGGUGGGGGUUGGAAAGUUUCGGCGGUUGGGGAUGGACUCGCGGCUUAUCAGCUUGUUGGUGGGGUAGUGGCUUACCAAGGCUUUGACGGGUAGCCGGCCUGAGAGGGUGACCGGCCACAUUGGGACUGAGAUACGGCCCAGACUCCUACGGGAGGCAGCAGUGGGGAAUAUUGCACAAUGGGCGGAAGCCUGAUGCAGCAACGCAGCGUGCGGGAUGACGGCCUUCGGGUUGUAAACCGCUUUCGCCUGUGACGAAGCGUGAGUGACGGUAAUGGGUAAAGAAGCACCGGCUAACUACGUG
rnacentral:rRNA from 1 species